GAAAUGCGAUAAGUAGUGUGAAUUGCAGAAUUCAGUGAAUCAUCGAAUCUUUGAACGCACAUUGCGCCCCUUGGUAUUCCAUGGGGCAUGCCUGUUCGAGCGUCAUUUGUACCCUCAGGCUCUGCUUGGUGUUGGGUGUUUGUCCCGUCUCCGCGCGUGGACUCGCCCCAAAGUGAUUGGCAGCCGGCGUACUGGUCCCGGAGCGCAGCACAUGUCGCGCAAACGAGUGCCUUGGUACGGCGGCGUCCAUAAGCCCCUCUCUCACGCUCUCGACCUCGGAUCAGGUAGGGAUACCCGCUGAACUUAAGC
rnacentral:misc_RNA from 1 species